AUACAGGUGGUCGGUGCUGGUCAAAGUGUAGUAUCUGUUCUUAUCACCUCAGUAUCUGAUACGGGCUCUAUUUGAACCUAGGAUAUUAAACUUACUUUUGGAAGUUGGUGGAGUACGUGCUUGAAGCCUGCUUCAGCUCCGCCGUGGGUCAGCCCGGUAUUGCAAUAUUUUAGGGAUCGAUGCACAGUUC